UCCACGGUGUCCACAGAGAAUGUUUUGAAUAGUAAUUUUAUGCCAAGUUAUUCCCUAAAUUAGGGCCCUCAAUAUGCCCUGAAGCCUUGAUUCUGCAAAACCUCUCGCAUGUCUCUAACUUGGAGGAAGUCUCAUUAUCAUUCAUGAUCGUUAUUCAGAACACAGAAGCAACAUUCUGGAGCAGAUUUUACUGAAAGUCACAUUUACAGUUCUUUUCAUUUAGUCACGGAGGAUUAUUUUCUGCACUUUCUUAGCAUCUUUUUACCCAGAAGAGAAACUCUUGGAAAGGUGAACAUGAAGCAUCAUUAACUUGCAGAAUCCUGGCCAAGUUGGCUUGCAAGCGUGGUGCUUCAAGUACCAGGUUGCUGCUGGGUUUUUGCUGCUGGGAGCUGCCUCGCUGCCAGCAGAUGAGGAGUUAACUACAGCUCUGCUUUCCCAUUCUUCUAUACAGAUGCUUGGAGGCCAAGCUGCCAGAAAUCUAGCUCUUCUCAGAGACAGUGGGAGGAAUAUUUUAGUAAAGAGGAUGCCCGAAGUGAGUGAACUCUCAGCCAAGAAGGAUGAACAACUCCAACUCACUCAGCCUGCCUGCAAAGGAGAGGUGCUCAAUCCUAGCUUAAAAUACUUCUUGGACUAAUGCCCCAGUAAAAGCAAAUGUGCUCUGAGUCACGAGGGGAAAGGCAGUGGAGCUCGUUUCUGCCCCAGUGAAACGUGACAUUACAGCAAAAGCUUUCCCUCACAAGUCACCGUCUGGAGCAGGAUCCCGGCGUUUCCCGGCUUUUGCUGAAGGAUGGAGCACCGUCGGUGACCCGACUUGCUCUCCUUGCAGCGGAUCUGACACCACAAUCACUAAGCACAGACCGUGCAGCAAGCUCACUUAAUCCUACCCGGCGAACACAUGAGCCGCAGUUUGCCUUUCAGUCUGUAAAUUGUUCUUUUGUUUUGCAGGCUUUACUGAACACAGUUUUAUUUCAUGUGACUGUGCUAUUUAUGGAGGAGUAAAUAUUGCCGGAGGUCUAUUUAAAAAGGCCAAUGACCUGGAUUUUUUUCCAUUUGAAUUAUCUCCAAGAGUCAGACAUGUUUAACAACUGAUUUUUUUUUUCCCCCCUCCUUGUUUCUGUAGACUGCAAUCAUUUCUAACAUCUUAGAUCAACACCAACUAAAAAGAAAAAGAUUUUGAGUGAAAUAAAACUGCUUGUAGUAUGAAUGUGAUCAGACAGUAUGUGACCUUGCCAUUUUUGGAAGAGCUGAAUUCCAUCCUGAUUUACCAGUUAACAACACAGCAUGUUUUUAACCUCUGAAUAUUAGCCUUUUUGUACUGUUGUAGUAAUUUGAGUUCAU